ACAUUUCGGGCUGGUAUUUAUACCGGAAACAGCACAGAGCAGCGUUAAACUGCGACGGACCAGGUUAUCUCACCUAUAUAUUACAGCCAUGGUCUGACUGCUAAUAAAAGCUAGCGUCUACGUGGUGCGGAAGAUCCGGGCUUCAGUCUCUGCAGGAGAGCAACUGGAGAAGCCCAUCGUCACACCAUGUAGUGCUAUCGCUGAAAUGAGAGCGGGGCAUGAGCCGCGUGGAAGCGCCGCUGCUGCACUGAUCCCAGGACCUGAAGAAGGUGUCGGCGGAGCGGCAGGCUCCGGAUCUUCUUUGGAGACCGCCGUGCAGAAAUGUGGCUCCUGACGUUAAAGAACACGCUGGACACUUGGACAGCAGGCACUGCAAUGGGAAAAUAUCAUUUUCUUCUUUGUAUAUUUGCUUUAGAGGACAAUACUACUUAUCCAGGAACAUUACAAGUAUGUGCAGAAUCAUUUAGAUGCAAUGGUCAACAUUAAUGUUGUCCAAACUCAAAUAGUGCAAACAAACCAUUGUGUAAUACAUAUACCAUGCAUUGUUUUACUGCUUUCCAGAGUCCAUGCGGUCCUCAGUGGCCAACGUCCAGCUCUUAAUCACACACGUUCAUGUCUCUUUCACAGCCGACAUGCUGACUUACUAUAUGAAGAGCUACACACAACACAACAGCCACCUGGACGUAACGGAGACGUUCAUGGUAUUAAAUGUAUGUGGUCAGUCAACAUGUUCUCUGUGAAAGGCCUGUGUUGAUGUAUUGCAGUGUUUGAAGGCCGACUCGCCAACCUCUCUCCAGGGGCCGAGCACGCCUGAUGUUUCUGCUGCUGUAUCAAUAAAACGUGUAAAAGGGUGGAGCCACCAUUAAUCGUACAAACUACACCUGUGCCAUUCCUGCGCCGGCAUGUCACAUGAUCUUCUGUAAAAGGUCUACUUAUUAAGCACAAAAGCAAAUAAUAUAAAGGGGUGGAUUCAGAUAA